AAGUCGUAACAAGGUCUCCGUUGGUGAACCAGCGGAGGGAUCAUUACAGGACUCGCAAGACUCCCGUAAACCACUGUGAACCUACCCAUCGUUGCCUCGGCGGGCGCCCGGGCUCAGCGCUCGGCCCGCCGGCGGCCCUUUACCCUGAUUUUUUUAUACGCAUCUCGGAGCAAUAUACAAACGAAUCAAAACUUUCAACAACGGAUCUCUUGGUUCUG
rnacentral:misc_RNA from 1 species